rnacentral:misc_RNA from 1 species
ACUUGAAAAGGUGCCAACCAAUUUUGUUGCUGGAGAUUGAAUUCUUCAAAUGACAGCAAAAUUAAUUGUAAUUUUUAUUCCUUUUGAUGUGCUCUGGAUAUAAUGAUUUAUUAUUGUUUAUACAAGUGAUUAACAUGCCUUUGUUGAAAUCAAUAUGCAGGUAAAAAAUAUCAGCAGCCAGCAGGAUAAUAUUAUUCCAUCAGUGGACAAAGCAUCUCUUUGCAAGUUUCUUUCUGUAAAACAAUAAAAUAUUAGAUUAUUAAUCACUAACAAAUCAGAAGGUUCCAUCCUCGAUUGGUCAUUCAUCUAUAGGUUAAAUUUAAUAGAGAGUCUUUUACAGGGAAUAUGGUGAAACUGAGGUAGGCUGAGAGCUAUUUCAUGGAAAUACCAAUUCUUUUGACAGACG